CCUACGGGAGGCAGCAGUGGGGAAUAUUGCGCAAUGGGCGAAAGCCUGACGCAGCGACGCCGCGUGAGGGAUGAAGGUCUUCGGAUCGUAAACCUCUGUCAGCAGGGGAGCACGGUCCCUGUGCUAAUCAGCAGUGAAUUGACGGUACCUGCAAAGGACGCACCGGCUAACUCCGUGCCAGCAGCCGCGGUUAUACGGAGGGUGCGAGCGGUAAUCGGAAUUACUGGGCGUAAAGCGGUCGUAGGCGGUAUGUCAAGGCAAGGGUUAAAUCCCCGGGCCCAACGUGGGAACUGCCUUUGAAACUGGGAAACUUGAGUGUGUGAAGGGAUAGUGGAAU
rnacentral:rRNA from 1 species